UUUGAUCAUGGCUCAGAUUGAACGCUGGCGGCAUGCCUUACACAUGCAAGUCGAACGGCAGCACGGGGGCAACCCUGGUGGCGAGUGGCGAACGGGUGAGUAAUACAUCGGAACGUGUCCUGUAGUGGGGGAUAGCCCGGCGAAAGCCGGAUUAAUACCGCAUACGAUCUACGGAAGAAAGCGGGGGGUCGCAAGACCUCGCGCUAUAGGGGCGGCCGAUGGCAGAUUAGCUAGUUGGUGGGGUAAAGGCCUACCAAGGCGACGAUCUGUUGCUGGUCUGAGAGGACGACCAGCCACACUGGGACUGAGACACGGCCCAGACUCCUACGGGAGGCAGCAGUGGGGAAUUUUGGACAAUGGGGGAAACCCUGAUCCAGCAAUGCCGCGUGUGUGAAGAAGGCCUUCGGGUUGUAAAGCACUUUUGUCCGGAAAGAAAACUUCUGCCCUAAUACGGCGGGAGGAUGACGGUACCGGAAGAAUAAGCACCGGCUAACUACGUGCCAGCAGCCGCGGUAAUACGUAGGGUGCGAGCGUUAAUCGGAAUUACUGGGCGUAAAGCGUGCGCAGGCGGUUCGUUAAGACAGAUGUGAAAUCCCCGGGCUUAACCUGGGAACUGCAUUUGUGACUGGCGAGCUAGAGUAUGGCAGAGGGGGGUAGAAUUCCACGUGUAGCAGUGAAAUGCGUAGAGCGCCC
rnacentral:rRNA from 1 species